rnacentral:lncRNA from 1 species
UCCCUCUUCUCCUCCCAGGUCCCCUGAAGAGAGAGGACCCAGUCUUUAGUCAAAGGUAUAUGAGUACCUGUGUUCCCCUGGUAGAACCUCCAAACAAACUCUCAUUUUCUACAGUGGAUCUGUCUUGGAUAGUCUUGUGCUGACAGUCCCCAACAUAACACACCUUGACUUCUGAUUCUUAAUCUUUACAAUUGAAGCUAGUU